rnacentral:rRNA from 1 species
GAUGAACGCUAGCUACAGGCUUAACACAUGCAAGUCGAGGGGCAGCAUGAAGUCAGCUUGCUGACUUUGAUGGCGACCGGCGCACGGGUGAGUAACGCGUAUCCAACCUUCCCCUUACUCAGGAAUAGCCCGUUGAAAGACGGAUUAAUGCCUGAUGUUCUCAUUUUCUGGCAUCAUGAAAUGAGCAAAGAUUUAUCGGUAAGGGGAUGGGGAUGCGUAUGAUUAGCUUGUUGGCGGGGUAACGGCCCACCAAGGCGACGAUCAUUAGGGGUUCUGAGAGGAAGGUCCCCCACACUGGAACUGAGACACGGUCCAG